UACGUAGGGGGCGAGCGUUGUCCGGAUUUAUUGGGCGUAAAGAGCGUGUAGGCGGCCAGGUAGGUCUGCUGUGAAAACUCGAGGCUCAACCUCGAGGACGUCGGUUGAAACCGUUUGGCUAGAGUCCGGAAGAGGAGAGUGGAAUUCCCGGUGUAGCGGUGAAAUGCGCAGAUAUCGGGAAGAACACCCGUGGCGAAGGCGGCUCUCUGGGACGGUACUGACGCUGAGACGGCGAAAGCGUGGGGAGCGAACAGG
rnacentral:rRNA from 1 species